GAUAUUUGGUCACCUUACUGAUGCUGGACAUCCUCACUCUGUGCGUGAAGACAUCUAGCUUCAGUAAAAUCCCAAUAGGAAAGCAUUGAAGCAAUGCUUUCCUUUGGGGAGGGCCUAAUGCACUCGCCGCACACAAACCGCACAUACACAUUAGGUCUCCUCCAUCGGAGGACACUGAGCAUUGACCCAAAGCCAAGGGAGAACGGUGCUGGAAUCGGGUGUGUAAUAAACUUUCCAUGCCAGG